AUUUACAUUUGAGUGAGUGGCGAACUGGUGAGUAACACGUGGGAAACCUGCCCAGAAGCGGGGGAUAACACCUGGAAACAGAUGCUAAUACCGCAUAACAACUUGGACCGCAUGGUCCGAGUUUGAAAGAUGGCUUCGGCUAUCACUUUUGGAUGGUCCCGCGGCGUAUUAGCUAGAUGGUGGGGUAACGGCUCACCAUGGCAAUGAUACGUAGCCGACCUGAGAGGGUAAUCGGCCACAUUGGGACUGAGACACGGCCCAAACUCCUACGGGAGGCAGCAGUAGGGAAUCUUCCACAAUGGACGAAAGUCUGAUGGAGCAACGCCGCGUGAGUGAAGAAGGGUUUCGGCUCGUAAAACUCUGUUGUUAAAGAAGAACAUAUCUGAGAGUAACUGUUCAGGUAUUGACGGUAUUUAACCAGAAAGCCACGGCUAACUACGUGCCAGCAGCCGCGGUAAUACGUAGGUGGCAA
rnacentral:rRNA from 1 species